rnacentral:lncRNA from 1 species
CUGUGUGCUCACUCAUUCACAGAGCAGAACACCAAGAUAUCUGUUGGUUUUCUUGAUUUCAUACUCUCGAUUCUCCACGUAACCUUACCUUGAACACCCACUGACGGGGGAAGCCAGAACUGUCUGUUGCUGUGUGUGGUGUAAACGCUGCCUUACACAGCAAAAAUCACCCUCUGGAGGUGCGAUUGAAUUGUGGGGUCUCGUAGUGGAGACAACCUGGAAUGUGCAGAUGAGGAAACCAAGGCACAUAAAUGUUACGUCAUCUGUCAGAGCUGGGGAGGAACGGAUUUCCUAUUCAAAGCCAGGACUGUCUAAGGGCAGUGGCCAGCCCUCCGGCUGCGGUGUAGAGGCAGUGCCAAGAGGAAGGAGGUUGAUGAAGGAUGAGAUUUGCACAGAGAAGGUUGAAGAAUGGCCAACGCUGCAAGCCUUCAGCUUUGUUUUGUUUGCUGAACGGCGUCUACUCUUGUAGCCUAUGCUGACCUUGAAAAUGCCGC